rnacentral:misc_RNA from 1 species
GAUGAAGAACGCAGCGAAAUGCGAUACUUGGUGUGAAUUGCAGAAUCCCGUGAACCAUCGAGUCUUUGAACGCAAGUUGCGCCUGAAGCCAUUAGGCCGAGGGCACGCCUGCCUGGGCGUCACACGUCGUUGCCCCCCCCAUCUACUCCUUCGGGAUUGCGGGGGGCGGAUGAUGGCCUCCCGUGCGCCUCGCCGCGCGGUUGGCAUAAAUGCCAAGUCCUCGGCGAUGCACGCCACGACAAUCGGUGGUUGCGAAACCUCGGUUGCCCGUCGUGUGCGGUCGUCGCGCAUCGAGGGCUCGAAAAAAUUGCCGGGUUCCGGCUCGGCUUUCAACGCGACCCCAGGUCAGGCGGGGUUACCCGCUGAAUUUAAGCAUAUCAAUAAGCGGAGGA